GUGAGGAAUUUUCCGCAAUGGGCGAAAGUCUGACGGAGCAAUGCCGCGUGAAGGAUGAAGGCCUAUGGGUUGUAAACUUCUUUUCUUAGAGAAGAAUAUUGACGGUAUCUGAGGAAUAAGCAUCGGCUAACUCUGUGCCAGCAGCCGCGGUAAGACAGAGGAUGCAAGCGUUAUCCGGAAUGAUUGGGCGUAAAGCGUCUGUAGGUGGCUUCAAAAGUCUCCUGUCAAAGAUCAGGGCUUAACCCUGGGCCGGCAGGAGAAACUCUGAGGCUAGAGUUUGGUAGGGGCAGAGGGAAUUCCCGGUGGAGCGGUGAAAUGCGUAGAGAUCGGGAGGAACACCAAAGGCGAAAGCACUCUGCUGGGCCACAACUGACACUGAGAGACGAAAGCGAGGGGAGCAAAAGGGAUUAGAUACCCCAGUAGUCC
rnacentral:rRNA from 1 species